UUACCUCUUACAAUAAUGGGCAUCCUGCUGCACAGACACAAUAUAAAAAUCUCACUCAGGAAACUUAACUUUGAUACAGCAUUACUAUUUAAUAUGCAUUCCAUACCCAAAAUUUCCAAAUUCUUUCCAAAAAGAAGUUUAUUUUAUUUGUCCAAUACUGAAUCCCAUCAAGGAUUAGGAAUUGCAUUCAGUUGUCAUGUCUGUUUAGUCAUCUUUAAUCCAGAGCACUUCCCUAGCCAUUACUUCUUUUUCCCCUCCAUUUUCUAAUUACAUUGCUAUUUUUGAAGAAUUCAUUUCAGAUGUUUUAUAGAAUGCUUCUCAGUUCUGAGUUGCACAGUGUCUUCAUCAUAAUUAGGCUCAGGUCAAAUAUUUAAGGUCAUUGGAGAACCACAUAGGUGAUGUGCAUCCUUCACAAGCCAUCAAGAAGCAUGUGGUCGCAGUUUCUCCUGUUCUUGGUGACACAGAUAUACUAGAAACCAACUUCUUGGAUGAAAACGUACAGAAGAGUCAAGGGCAAGAACGCUCGGUACCACUGCCCAGAAGCAAUGAGCCUAGUGAACAAGUUGGGCAGAAAACGCAAUGAUAACAAUGAAGUGUGGUAAGUGCUAAGAAUUUAAACACAAAGUCUUAUUGAACCACUGAAGAGGAAGAAAUUACUUGGCCCAGUGGUAGCAGAGAG